UACGAAGGGGGCUAGCGUUGUUCGGAAUCACUGGGCGUAAAGCGCGUGUAGGCGGAUUGUUAAGUCGGGGGUGAAAUCCCGAGGCUCAACCUCGGAACUGCCUUCGAUACUGAAGAGCUCGAGUCCGGGAGAGGUGAGUGGAACUGCGAGUGUAGAGGUGAAAGUCGUAGAUAUUCGCAAGAACACCAGUGGCGAAGGCGGCUCACUGGCCCGGUACUGACGCUGAGGUGCGAAAGCGUGGGGAGCAAACAGG
rnacentral:rRNA from 1 species